UACGAAGGGGGCAAGCGUUGUUCGGAAUCACUGGGCGUAAAGGGUGCGUAGGCGGGUCUUUAAGUCAGGGGUGAAAUCCUGGAGCUCAACUCCAGAACUGCCUUUGAUACUGAAGAUCUUGAGUUCGGGAGAGGUGAGUGGAACUGCGAGUGUAGAGGUGAAAUUCGUAGAUAUUCGCAAGAACACCAGUGGCGAAGGCGGCUCACUGGCCCGAUACUGACGCUGAGGCACGAAAGCGUGGGGAGCAAACAGG
rnacentral:rRNA from 1 species